UAACAGAAACGUCCAGGGGGAAAGGUUUCACCUAACAGAAACGUCCAGGGGGAAAGGUGUCGUCUAACAGAAACGUCCGGGGGGAAAGGUGUUAACUAACAGAAACGUCCAGGGGGAAAGGUGUCGUCUAACAGAAACGUCCAGGGGGAAAGGUGUCGUCUAACAGAAACGUCCAGGGCGAAAGGUGUUAACUAACAGAAACGUCCA